GUCCUACGGGGGGCAGCAGUAGGGAAUCUUCCACAAUGGGCGAAAGCCUGAUGGAGCAACGCCGCGUGGGUGAAGAAGGUCUUCGGAUCGUAAAACCCUGUUGUUAGAGAAGAAAGUGCGUGAGAGUAACUGUUCACGUUUCGACGGUAUCUAACCAGAAAGCCACGGCUAACUACGUGCCAGCAGCCGCGGUAAUACGUAGGUGGCAAGCGUUAUCCGGAUUUAUUGGGCGUAAAGGGAACGCAGGCGGUCUUUUAAGGCUGAGGUGUAAGCCUUCGGCUUAACCGGAGUAGUGCAUUGGAAAG
rnacentral:rRNA from 1 species